rnacentral:rRNA from 1 species
UACGUAGGUCCCGAGCGUUGUCCGGAUUUAUUGGGUUUAAAGGGUGCGUAGGCGGGAUGCCAAGUCAGCGGUAAAAAUGCGGUGCUCAACGCCGUCGAGCCGCUGAAACUGGCGUUCUUGAGUGGGCGAGAAGUAUGCGGAAUGCGUGGUGUAGCGGUGAAAUGCAUAGAUAUCACGCAGAACUCCGAUUGCGAAGGCAGCAUACCGGCGCCCUACUGACGCUGAGGCACGAAAGCGUGGGUAUCGAACAGG